rnacentral:rRNA from 1 species
AGAGAAUAGAUACCCAGGUAGUCCACGCCGUAAACGAUGUGUGUUUGUCGCCGGGAAGUUCACUUUUCGGUGACGCAGCUAAACGCGUUAAGCACACCGCCUGGGAAGUACGGCCGCAAGGUUAAAACUCAAAGGAAUUGACGGGGACCCGCACAAGCGGUGGAGUAUGUGGUUUAAUUCGUCGCAACGCGAAGAACCUUACCAGGCCUUGACAUGCCCUCUAUGGGCCCCAGAGACGGGGUCCUUCACUUCGGGUGGGAGGGACACAGGUGCUGCAUGGCUGUCGUCAGCUCGUGUCGUGGGAUGUUGGGUUAAGUCCCGCAACGAGCGCAACCCCUUUUGUCAGUUGCCAACAGGUAAUGCUGGGAACUCUGACGAUACUGCCGGUGAUAAGCCGGAGGAAGGCGGGGAUGACGUCAAGUCCUCAUGGCCCUUACGGCCUGGGCUACACACGUACUACAAUGGUGGUGACAAUGGGCAGCUAGCCAGCGAUGG